UUAGCCCUUAUGACCUCAUUUUUAAAAAGCCUACUUGGAAGCCCAGCUUGCAAAAACGAAAGAUAAAAUGAUGGACUUUAUGACCUUAUGACAGGAGACAACUGCCAAUGCACCUCAUAUACAAUCUCCUGAAUUUCACAACACAAAAGGGAGUAAGUUCUUAUAUGCAUGUCAGAGGGUACUUCACUAGGAAAAACCAGUGAACUAUGUGAGCUAUAUAUCUAGAAGAUUCUGAUAGAUGCUUGGUCGCUCUUGGUAAUGUUCUAACUUUGGGAUAAAUCAUCCACCAUAAGAAAAUGCAACAAUAUCAAGUGAAAGUGGUGGUAGAAGAUGUAAAAUUACCAGAGGCACUCAUCCCAUUCCUUACUUACAAGGUCAAGACUGUGUCUAAAGCUGUUCGUGCUUUUAUCGUGUGGCUCAAGAGACUUUUGCCUUCGCUGAUCAGGACCUCAACGUUACUGAUAUCCUUGCUCUCUUUGGUGCUCACACAUUCAUAAUAGCACAUUGCAUCACAUUUGUGGAUAUAUUAUACAAUUUUCGUCUCCUAGAUGCUACCUUAGAUUCUCAAGAACAUACCAGUUGGAAUCUUCUCCAGGCUAAAAAGUUCAACAGGCAAAGAAGAGAGGCUUAAAGCUUGGAGGUAGGAGGUGUAGGGUUCAAAUCUUGAUUUUGGCAUAUUUUGCAACAAAUACGUGACAUAGCACGUGGUGGUAACGUUGUGCAUAAGGUAGCUUGAGGAGGCAUACAUGUGGUGGGUGACGUACACGUGUGUUGGUGACAUGAUGCAUGAGGUGACUUGAGAAGGCACACACAUGGCAAGUGAUAUGGCACGAAGUAGGGGUGUGACACAUGAGGUGGCUUGAGGAGGUGCACAUAUGGCGUAUGACAUGGCAUGAGAUGGUGGGAUGAUGUAGCAUCAUCUGUCGAAUGUGUGACCUAUGGCAUGGCGCAAGAUGGCAUGUGAUGUGGGAUUAUUUAUCACAUACAUGGCAGGUGACAUGGCAUCACGUGAUGCACACGUGGUGAAGUAACGUAGUAUAAAAUAAAUUAUUAUUUUUUAAAAAAAGUAAAAGUCUUUUUGGUUGCAACAAGAAGUAGACUUUUAUAUGUAAAAAACUUUUGGUAGUGACAUAUGUUUGUCGCCACCAAAAACUGUUAGCGAUAAUUGUUAUAGCGACGAUGACUUUUGGACU